AUUUGGUCGUAGACCCGAAACCAGGUGAUCUACCCUUGGUCAGGUUGAAGUUCAGGUAACACUGAAUGGAGGACCGAACCGACUUACGUUGAAAAGUGAGCGGAUGAACUGAGGGUAGCGGAGAAAUUCCAAUCGAACCUGGAGAUAGCUGGUUCUCUCCGAAAUAGCUUUAGGGCUAGCCUCAAGUGAUGAUUAUUGGAGGUAGAGCACUGUUUGGACGAGGGGCCCCUCUCGGGUUACCGAAUUCAGACAAACUCCGAAUGCCAAUUAAUUUAACUUGGGAGUCAGAACAUGGGUGAUAAGGUCCGUGUUCGAAAGGGAAACAGCCCAGACCACCAGCUAAGGUCCCAAAAUAUAUGUUAAGUGGAAAAGGAUGUGGCGUUGCCCAGACAACUAGGAUGUUGGCUUAGAAGCAGCCAUCAUUUAAAGAGUGCGUAAUAGCUCACUAGUCGAGUGACACUGCGCCGAAAAUGUACCGGGGCUAAACAUAUUACCGAAGCUGUGGAUUGUCCUUUGGACAAUGGUAGGAGAGCGUUCUAAGGGCGUUGAAGCAUGAUCGUAAGGACAUGU
rnacentral:rRNA from 1 species